UCAUUUCACAAGGUGGGCAGUCGCCUAACCUCUGAAGAGCAAGUCUGCAGUCGAGGUUACGAGGUGAUCAAUUGUAUUCUUGAUUUUGUGUGCAAAUUUGCUGUGCCUGCAAGCCUGCUUACAGACCAGGGCACAGCAUUAAGGAAGAAAAAGAAGGUGCAUCUCAGACUCUGAAUCUCUGGGAAUUCUGCACACCCCAUCACCCUCAGACAAAUGGCUUGGUGGAGAAACUUGAUGGCAACAUUCAGAGGUCUGUCAACAAGCUGGCUCGUAAGUGCCCCAAAACAUGGGACCAGUCCUGUGACCCUCCCGCAGCCACGUUGCCGGAGACUGAACACAUCCACAAUGUUACAUCCUGUUCGGCAAUGUGACAUGGUAUAGUAAUGCUAUAUGUGCCUAGAACCCGGGA